AUACGGAGGGUGCAAGCGUUACUCGGAAUCACUGGGCGUGAAGGACGCGUAGGCGGGAAGCCAAGUCUGAUGUGAAAUCCUAUGGCUCAACCAUAGAACUGCAUUGGAAACUGGUAACCUAGAGUAUGGGAGGGGGAGAUGGAAUUAGUGGUGUAGGGGUAAAAUCCGUAGAUAUCACUAGGAAUACCUAAAGCGAAGGCGAUCUCCUGGAACAAUACUGACGCUAAGGCGUGAAAGCGUGGGGAGCAAACGGGAUUAGAUACCCGAGUAGUCC
rnacentral:rRNA from 1 species